UACGAGGGGUGCAAGCGUUGUUCGGAAUUACUGGGCGUAAAGCGUGAGGAGGCGGCUUGUUAAGUCUGAUGUGAAGGCCCUGGGCUUAACCCAGGAACUGCAUCGGAAACUAGCAGGCUAGAGUUCGGGAGAGGGUCGUGGAAUUCUUGGUGUAGAGGUGAAAUUCGUAGAUAUCAAGAGGAACACCGGUGGCGAAGGCGGCGACCUGGACCGACACUGACGCUAAUACACGAAAGCGUGGGGAGCAAACAGG
rnacentral:rRNA from 1 species